UUUUUUCUGAGAAUUUGAUCUUGGUUCAGAUUGAACGCUGGCGGCGUGGAUGAGGCAUGCAAGUCGAACGGAAUAAUGACUUCGGUUGUUAUUUAGUGGCGGAAGGGUUAGUAAUACAUAGAUAAUCUGUCCUCAACUUGGGAAUAACGGUUGGAAACGACCGCUAAUACCGAAUGUGGUAUGUUUAGGCAUCUAAAACAUAUUAAAGAAGGGGAUCUUCGGACCUUUCGGUUGAGGGAGAGUCUAUGGGAUAUCAGCUUGUUGGUGGGGUAAUGGCCUACCAAGGCUUUGACGUCUAGGCGGAUUGAGAGAUUGACCGCCAACACUGGGACUGAGACACUGCCCAGACUUCUACGGAAGGCUGCAGUCGAGAAUCUUUCGCAAUGGACGAAAGUCUGACGAAGCGACGCCGCGUGUGUGAUGAAGGCUCUAGGGUUGUAAAGCACUUUCGCUUGGGAAUAAGAGAGAUUGGCUAAUAUCCAAUCGAUUUGAGCGUACCAGGUAAAGAAGCACCGGCUAACUCCGUGCCAGCAGCUGCGGUAAUACGGAGGGUGCUAGCGUUAAUCGGAUUUAUUGGGCGUAAAGGGCGUGUAGGCGGAAAGGAAAGUUAGAUGUUAAAUCUUGGGGCUCAACCCCAAGCCAGCAUCUAAUACUAUCUUUCUAGAGGGUAGAUGGAGAAAAGGGAAUUCCACGUGUAGCGGUGAAAUGCGUAGAUAUGUGGAAGAACACCAGUGGCGAAGGCGCUUUUCUAAUUUACACCUGACGCUAAGGCGCGAAAGCAAGGGGAGCAAACAGGAUUAGAUACCCUGGUAGUCCUUGCCGUAAACGAUGCAUACUUGAUGUGGAUAGUCUCAACCCUAUCCGUGUCGUAGCUAACGCGUUAAGUAUGCCGCCUGAGGAGUACACUCGCAAGGGUGAAACUCAAAAGAAUUGACGGGGGCCCGCACAAGCAGUGGAGCAUGUGGUUUAAUUCGAUGCAACGCGAAGAACCUUACCUGGGCUUGACAUGUAUUUGACCGCGGCAGAAAUGUCGUUUUCCGCAAGGACAGAUACACAGGUGCUGCAUGGCUGUCGUCAGCUCGUGCCGUGAGGUGUUGGGUUAAGUCCCGCAACGAGCGCAACCCUUAUCGUUAGUUGCCAACACUUAGGGUGGGAACUCUAACGAGACUGCCUGGGUUAACCAGGAGGAAGGCGAGGAUGACGUCAAGUCAGCAUGGCCCUUAUGCCCAGGGCUACACACGUGCUACAAUGGCCAGUACAGAAGGUAGCAAUAUCGUGAGAUGGAGCAAAUCCUCAAAGCUGGCCCCAGUUCGGAUUGUAGUCUGCAACUCGACUACAUGAAGUCGGAAUUGCUAGUAAUGGCGUGUCAGCUAUAACGCCGUGAAUACGUUCCCGGGCCUUGUACACACCGCCCGUCACAUCAUGGGAGUUGGUUUUGCCUUAAGUCGUUGACUCAACCUGCAAAGGAGAGAGGCGCCCAAGGUGAGGCUGAUGACUGGGAUGAAGUCGUAACAAGGUAGCCCUACCGGAAGGUGGGGCUGGAUCACCUCCUUU
rnacentral:rRNA from 6 species